rnacentral:rRNA from 1 species
CCUACGGGAGGCAGCAGUGAGGAAUAUUGGUCAAUGGGCGCGAGCCUGAACCAGCCAUGCAGCGUGAAGGAUGACUGCCUUACGGGUUUUAAACUUCUUCUAUCAAGGAAUAAAGUUAUGCAUGUGUGCCCUUUUGUAUGUACUUUAUGUAUAAGGAUCGGCUAACUCCGUGCCAGCACCAGAGGUGAUACGGAGGGUCCGAGCGUUAAGCGGAUCUAUUGGGCGUAAAGUGAGCGUAGAGGGGUAGUUAAGUCAGUUGUGAAAGUUGCGGGCUCAACCGUACAAUUGCAAUUGAUACUGGCAGUCUAGAGUACAGUUGAGGGAGGCAGAAUUCGUGGUGUAGCGGUGAAAUGCUUAGAUAUGUCGAAGAACACCGAUGGCGAAGGCAGCUCACUAAACUUCCACUGACGCUCAUGUGCGAAAGCGUGGGUAGCAAACAGGAUUAGAUACCCUUGUAGUC